rnacentral:rRNA from 1 species
UACGUAGGUGACAAGCGUUGUCCGGAUUUACUGGGCGUAAAGAGCGCGCAGGCGGUCGUUCAAGUCGAGUGUGAAAGCCCCCGGCUCAACUGGGGAGGGUCAUUCGAUACUGAUCGACUCGAAGGCAGGAGAGGGUAGUGGAAUUCCCGGUGUAGUGGUGAAAUGCGUAGAUAUCGGGAGGAACACCAGUGGCGAAGGCGGCUACCUGGCCCACUCUUGACGCUGAGGCGCGAAAGCUAGGGGAGCAAACGGG